UAAAGCUGCCUGUGUUCCUGCACUCAUGUGGCAAUGCCACUCUCAAACAAAAGAACUCAAGUCCUUUCUGCUGAGUUUGCAGUGCUCUGAAAGAAUGUACCUACAUUUGUCAGCUUGCUGUGUACUUCAUGCCAGCUCAGCUUUUUUGGAAGAAGUAUUUGGGCUGCCCCUCAUUUGAGUCUUCCUCGCAAUGCAAGUCUUCAGUCUCUUCAUGAAUGGUCCCUUGUUUGCCUUUGCCUGGAGCAUAUGUGGAGCACUCAGACAGUUGGAUAUGAAUGGACCACCAUCCAAUAUGCAGGAACCACCAGCUCCAAGGCAAGCAGGUCCCUGGCUGCAGCAGCAUCCUUGGCAUUUGCACUCUAUGAUGAUGAACAUGGCAAGAGAAAAAACGAAUGCGAUGGGACCAGUUUUAAGGAGAAACUGAAACCUGAGAAAGCAUUUUUCUAAGGUAGAUUUUGCUUGGCUGAUUGAAGCAGUUAUGUCUUCUACCCUUUCCACUCUUCUGGAAGAGUUACUGUCUUGUGGCAAGGAUGGUUGGAUAAAGCAGGAAUCCAGUCCAAAAUUACCAGAAUUCACAGCUCCAUACAUAGCAGAAACUUGUGACAGCAUCUCCAAGAACCAGCAGCCUGACCUGUGAAGCACCAAGACAUGAUCAGUACUCCUUGCUUCAUCACCACCUGUCUCUUGGAGAAGGUGAAAAGCAGCCCUAAGAAUUACCCAUAGCUCUUACCUAACCCAGAAACAUGCACGAAUGCCCUUCCCAUUGUCUAUAGACUCCAUUUAAUAAGUCAUUAGCUCAAGCUGCAUUUCAAAAG
ensembl:lncRNA